rnacentral:rRNA from 1 species
GUGUCAGCAGCCGCGGUAAUACGUAGGGGGCAAGCGUUGUCCGGAAUCAUUGGGCGUAAAGCGCGUGUAGGCGGCCCGGUAAGUCCGCUGUGAAAGUCCAGGGCUCAACCCUGGAAAGCCGGUGGAUACUGUCGGGCUAGAGUCCGGAAGAGGCGAGUGGAAUUCCUGGUGUAGCGGUGAAAUGCGCAGAUAUCAGGAGGAACACCAAUUGCGAAGGCAGCUCGCUGGGACGGCACUGACGCUGAGACGCGAAAGCGUGGGGAGCGAACAGGAUUAGAAACCCGUGUAGUCC